UUUAAUAACCCAACUUAUGUUCCUAAGUCGACGGCUGAAAAAAAUACUCAGAAUCGGGUCCUUACGAUGCCACUUGCAGAAUAUCAUCAGCAGACUAUGCUGAUUCAAGAUAGGUAAGUCAUUUGCGGGCGAUCAAAACAGAUUUUCCGGAAAAAAAUAAAACUUGAAAAUUUAAAUAACCCAACUUAUGCUCCUAAGUCGACGGCUGAAAAAAAUACUUUGAAUCGGGUCCUUACGUUGCCCCUUACAGAAUAACAUCAGCAGACCAUGCUGAUUCAAGAUAGAUAGCUCAUUUGCGGGCGAUCAAAACAGAUUUUCCGGAAAAAAAUAAAACUUGAAAAUUUAAAUAACCCAACUUAAGCUUUUAAGUCGACGGCUGAAAAAAAUACUCAGAAUCGGGUCCUUACGAUGCCACUUGCAGAAUAACAUCA